GACGAACGCUGGCGGCGUGCCUAAUACAUGCAAGUAGGACGAGUUGCGAACGGGUGAGUAACGCGUGGUAACCUACCUAUUAGAGGGGGAUAACUACUUGAAACGCUAGCUAAUACCGCAUACCAUCGGAUGUGCCCAGGUUGGAUUAGCUAGUAGGUGGGGUAACGGCUCACCUAGGCGACACUCCCUAGCUGGUCUGAGAGGAUGACCAGCCACACUGGAACGGAGACACGGCCCAGACUCCUACGGGAGGCAGCAGUGGGGAAUCUUGGGCAAUGGGCGAAAGUCUGACGGAGCAAUGCCGCGUGUAUGAAGAAGGUUUUCGGGUUGUAAAGUACUGUCGGCAAGGAGGCGUUACUCACCGAGGAAGCCACGGCUAACUCCGUGCCAGCAGCCGCGGUAAUAC
rnacentral:rRNA from 1 species